GACAGAGGAUGCAAGCGUUAUCCGGAAUGAUUGGGCGUAAAGCGUCUGUAGGUGGCUUUUUAAGUCCGCCGUCAAAUCCCAGGGCUCAACCCUGGAAUGCCGGUGGAAACUGUCGAGCUAGGGUCCGGAAGAGGCGAGUGGAAUUCCUGGUGUAGCGGUGAAAUGCGCAGAUAUCAGGAGGAACACCAAUGGCGAAGGCAGCUCGCUGGGACGGUACUGACGCUGAGACGCGAAAGCGUGGAGGCAAGCAACGAUG
rnacentral:rRNA from 1 species